UUAGUUCCGUCUGUAGUCUCAUUAUAAAAAGUCACUAUGAUCAGAGUUCUAGUCAUUUUUCAGUCAUUCUACUGGAUUCAAGGAGUCUUAGGGGUGAAUGAUGUGUCUCAGUCCAGUACACUCUGGGUUACAAUGGGUCAAUCAGCCACAAUAAACUGCUCACACUCCAAGGAUUCAUCUUACAAUAGGAUGUACUGGUUCCGUCAACUUCAUGGAGAGAGCAUGGAGCUCAUAGUGUACUCUCCCACAUACGGCACUCCAGAUUUUGGAACUUUCAGCGAAAGUAAAUUCUCAGUCAGUAAAACAGUUCCUCAGAGCGGCUCCUUCACAGUGAAGGAUGUGGAUUAUAAUGAUAGAGGUGUGUAUUUCUGUGCCGUGAGUGAACACAGUGUUAUAACCACAAGACAGAGCUGUACAAAAACACUCUGUGGGUCUCAGUCAGGAGGAAAAGUGAAUGAACCAAAGGGGGUACUAUGA